AUAAAUGGCGGAGGAAUCAAAGGCAAAAGUAGCAAGAAAAGUGUGACUGCCCUUGGCUGGUUUGGCUCAAUGGAUAGAGUGCCUGCUGCAGACUGAGGGGGUCCCGGGUUCGAUCCCAGCCAAGGGCACAUGCCUGGGCUGCGGGCUGGAUCCCCAGGAAGGGGCGUGCCCGAGGCAGUUGGCAGACUGCGAACAGUGUGGACUCUGGGGUGAGCGCUUGGGAGGCCUUCGUGGUGGGAGUGGUCGGAGGAGAGGGCCCCUGGACGGCGGAAGAGAUGGUUAUGGUUAUCCUCCCUGUUUUGCCGGGAGGGGAAACCAAGGCCCAGAAGAAUGAAGUGGCCCGCCCAAGGGCUCAGCUAAGGCCUGGCAGGACGAGAAGGACAAGAAGCUCGUUCCUAUCCUUGUGGUUUGCUGUUUGGAAAAUCACCUGAAUGCAGGGGAGUCUGCACGGGUGGAGGCAGUGAAGAAGCGUCGUUUGGAACUGGAACGUCACACGUGGACGUGCUGAGGCUUUCUGCUGCUGGAGGGUCCGAGUUCUGUUUCUUAGCUUCUCCGUGUUUUUACCAGAAUCCGUCUCAGACACGAUGAAAGAAGAGCCUGUCUCUUAAAAACUGUCACAGUACUCACUUAUUUUGGACAACAUCCUCCUUUAGGAGAAGGCCCAUCAGUAGUAAAAAUCAGUAUUUGGUCCGAGGGUGGGUGAUAAGGGUAGGGGGUUCCUCUACAUUCCUUUGAUAAAGGGUCUCCCAAAAAAUGUAUACACACUUUGAAUGAUUAGAAAGUCCGUGUUUAUUAACAUACAGUUCAUUUUCAAAAUUUAAAAGAGCCUACAGAAAUGAAUAAUUUCCUCACCCAUGCCAGUUUUCAAACUCAUGGUCAUUCUGGUCCAGGCUCUGCAAAGGAAUCAUAAACAUCAAGAAUCAUUUUGUUCCGUAUUUGUGCGCCCUCAAUUCGUCUUCUGUUGCCAGUUUUGUACCAUAAACUUUAUGUAGCCCCAUAAAAAAAAAAAAGCCCAGUGGCACUUUAGGAUUAAUUUUCUGUGUUCAGAGCUUAGUCUGGCUUCAAGCAUUGUUUUGAAUCAGUUAAACCUGAAAAGGACUAAAAAUUAAGUGAGUUAUCAGCUGUUAAAGUGUGUAUGCAUGUUGGGGGACACCCUAUAUUUCAACUGUCUGUAUAUAACCUAACUCUGAAAUAUUUUUUAAAAGAUUUUAAUUUGUCCAAAUCAUGGUCUUAAGGGUGAUAUUCUAGACACCAUUUUGUUCUUUUAUGUCAUUUCUCCUACAGACAAUGCUUACUAUCAUGAAUUGGUGUAGUGACAACCUUGGUGUCCUAGAUGUAGACCAAAAAUUAAAAGCACUGCUGAAAUCGGUUUGGCUCAAUGGAUAGAGUGUUGGCUUGGGGACUGAAGGGACCCGGGUUCGAUUCCAGUCAAG